UUUUGGUCCAAUUUUUAGGACACUUUAUGAGGCGAUACUCGCUGAUGACAAACCCAAACUAAUGGAAGGUAAGAAAUGGGCUAGUACUGAUGACCUUCUGAGAAGAGAAAAGGAAGUAAUUGUGAAGUAACAAUACUCCAAGCUACUUUAUCCUUGCUCAAGUAUCAAACAAUAAGGUCGAAUCCACCAAAUGGAAAUCCUAACCUAGGAAGAGAUAACACCAAAAAGUGCUAGAAACCUAAAGGAUAACGGGCCCCACGACUAAGGAACGACUUUGCCCAAAAAUUUCAGUCCAAGAAGAAAGCCCAAAUAUAGACUGGGUAUGGGUGCCCGUGGAGUACAAAUGUGUCGCAAUGAACAUACAGGAUAUUUGGCCUCCAUGUUCAACGAUGUUCCAAGGUCCUGUAAUGAACCAAUCGAAGCGAUCUUAUACCCCGCAGGAAAAUCAGACAUAAAAAUUCCUC
rnacentral:lncRNA from 1 species